AACUUUCAACAACGGAUCUCUUGGCUCUUGCAUCGAUGAAGAACGCAGCGGAAUGCGAUAAGUAAUGUGAAUUGCAGAAUCCAGUGAAUCAUCGAAUCUUUGAACGCACCUUGCGCCCUUUGGUAUUCCGAGGGGCAUGCCUGUUUGAGAGUCAUU
rnacentral:rRNA from 1 species